rnacentral:rRNA from 1 species
CCUACGGGAGGCAGCAGUGGGGAAUCUUGCGCAAUGGGCGAAAGCCUGACGCAGCCAUGCCGCGUGAAUGAUGAAGGUCUUAGGAUUGUAAAAUUCUUUCACCGAGGACGAUAAUGACGGUACUCGGAGAAGAAGCCCCGGCUAACUUCGUGCCAGCAGCCGCGGUAAUACGAAGGGGGCUAGCGUUGCUCGGAAUUACUGGGCGUAAAGGGAGCGUAGGCGGAUAGUUUAGUCAGAGGUGAAAGCCCAGGGCUCAACCUUGGAAUUGCCUUUGAUACUGGCUAUCUUGAGUACGGAAGAGGUAUGUGGAACUCCGAGUGUAGAGGUGAAAUUCGUAGAUAUUCGGAAGAACACCAGUGGCGAAGGCGACAUACUGGUCCGUUACUGACGCUGAGGCUCGAAAGCGUGGGAGCAAACAGGAUUAGAUACCCUGGUAGUCCACGCUGUAAACGAUGAGUGCUAGUUGUCGGCAUGCAUGCAUGUCGGUGACGCAGCUAACGCAUUAAGCACUCCGCCUGGGGAGUACGGUCGCAAGNUUAAAACNCAAAGGAAUUGACGG